rnacentral:lncRNA from 1 species
UGGUAGUGAGAUAUAUUGUGAUCUCCACCACAAUAUCAUCGAAACUCUUUUUGAUGGAUUGAAACAAUUCUAACUCUAUCCUUCGAGGGUCAUCGAUCAUCAAAAUGAUGCCCAAUGAGUCUCAUAAUCCAUCAGUGACACCUAAUAGUAUAUAGUGGUAACCCAAUAGAAUGAAAAUUUGAACCCUUAGGUAUAGUUAUCAUAUGAUUCAGUCCUUCUAUCAUGAGUCCCGACUUGACGAAAGUCAUGG